CAAAUCCCAGACAGAGAGCAGCCAGGGGCAGCACCUCACCCUGGACCUGUAGAGAACACAACUGCCUGUGAGGACAGCCUGUCUGGGUCUCCUGACUGCUUGUUUAUGCUGCGGAUUGCCUGAAAUUAGCACACAAGCACACGCUGCCAGCUGCAACCCAAACCAGGGACCCAGAGGACCACCAGGGUCUUUCUACACUCAGCCCCCUGUGGAGAUAAAGGCACAAAGGACUCCGGACUAGAUUUAUAUAUUACAGAAUAUACAGCCUUGGUGAAUUUCAUCAUCAGACAUGCUGAACGGACCUGCCUGAACUCCUGAUGUCUUGGGUUUUCAUCCAGAUCCAGUCAGGACACAGACAUCAGAGACAAUCAUUGGUGUGGCCUUCCUAAGGCCAAUGAAUUCCCCCAUUUUUCCCUACCUUCCCCCCUCUCUUCAAAAAUACCUCAAUGUCCAUAAUCAGCUUGAAGAAGUUAUGAAGAGUCUUUAUUCCAGUUCCCCGGGCUUUGGGGCUGGGGUGGUUAUUAUAGGUUGUCUUCGAUAGUAAAAAAUUUGAAGUACAA
rnacentral:lncRNA from 1 species